UGUUGCUGGCCCCCCUCGGGGCAAUUGGUGCACGCUUGUCAUCUUUAUUUCUCCAACUUGUGCACAUAUUGUAGACCUGGGAGUUUUGUUUUGUUGAUUUGUUUCGAGUUGGGACUGCUGUGCUAAAAGUCAGCUUUGCCUUGCAUAUUUCCUCCAGGUCUAUGUCAUUUUCACAACCUCUCAUAGUGUUUAGAAUGUUGAAUCAGAUGAAAUAAAUAUACAACUUUCAGCAACGGAUCUCUUGGCUCUCGCAUCGAUGAAGAACGCAGCGAAAUGCGAUAAGUAAUGUGAAUUGCAGAAUUCAGUGAAUCAUCGAAUCUUUGAACGCAUCUUGCGCUCCUUGGUAUUCCGAGGAGCAUGCCUGUUUGAGUGUCAUUCAAGUUCCUCAACCCACAUCGAUAAUAAUGGUGUGGCUUGGAUAUGGGGGUUGCGGGCUUCUGUGUGCAAAGUCUGCUCCCCUGAAAUGCAUUAGUGGUUAUCGUUGAGCCAACCACAGGUGUGUGAUAAAUAUAUCUAUGCCUUUGGUAUGCUGUUGAACCGCUUCCAACAAA
rnacentral:rRNA from 1 species